AAAAAAAAAAAAAAACUAAGAAAAUGCCCUCUUAAUUUCAAUUGUGUUAUGCAUUGUCAAUAAAGAAACUAGGAGUGGUUUCCUCAACCUUUACAUAGUGUUGCAUCACUAACAUAGACAUCUUACAAUCAUGAAACUUUGAUGAAUAAAGGAAAUCACCCAUCACACCUAGCUCUGAAUACUCUGCCCACUCUGUCAUUUCCUUCAAAAAUUUGAUUUGGGCAGGCUACCUUACCCACCACAAAAAGGUCAUAACUAUGUUCCAUUGAUUGAAUUGUAGCAAUCAAUCGUAAACUAUCAUUUACUACCACCUCAUGGCAAACAACACUAGAGUUCUUUACAUUUUUAUCCUUAAAUUCUUGGACUAAUAAGUCAUCUAAUCCAUUUCCAUCUCCUUUAAUGUCUACUUCAUCCAUUUUCAAGUAAAUUCUCAACAGGGUGAUGCUCACAUUUGAAUUUUCAGACAUCCUCAUUGCAAGUUUCAAGGCUUCAGAAUCAUCAGGACCACCCAUGAAGAUGACUAAUACAUUGCAAGAGAACUGACCUAAUAAGUUUUUUCGAGGUGGCAAUCCUUUUUGUACUAAGAUCCCAACAGUGCAAGGUGCAUUUGCUUGAAGCUGUGCAUUAAAACUCCGCAAGAGAUGACGGUUAUUAUCUUGUUGAUUUCCUAGGAAAGGUACGAUGAUGAAAGGAACUCUUCUAUCCUCUGCAUAGUUGCAAAUGAUGUUGUGCAUGGUCUUGAAUGGGGCAACCAAAACAAAUGGUCUUAACAAGACGGGACCAUGGGAGUUUCUUGAAUAAUUUGAAAAGGCAUGCAUAAUAUGAUCUGUUGAAUUGUUAGAUUUGAAACUCUUGCUGUGGCCACUGUAAGGUGUGAGCAAUGGAGCUGCUCUACCAGAAAGCUCGAUUGCAUGGAUGCUUAAAGGGCUAUUGACAGUUGGGUUGGAUGCUUCUAGUAGAGUAAUGAUGCUGUGGACAUUAUCUUCACCGUGAAUGCAGGUAAGAAUGUGAAAUUCUUCUGCAAAUGGAGUUGUUUGAAGUGUUCUUCUGUAUUUUUGUGGACAAGGAGAUUCGAUGAGUCUGAUUUCAGGUUUAUAGAAAAUGACUAGUAAACCACUGUAAAUUGCAGUCAUGAAAACGCUGCAUAGGACCAAUGCAGUAUACAUCCUCUCAUCUGCCAACUGCAAGCAAGGAAAAACAGAAAUUGUAAAUCAUUGUUAGAUACUUCAUUAUCAUGUAGUCAUUAAACUUAACUUCAUCUAUUGUCCUUGA
rnacentral:misc_RNA from 1 species